UACGUAGGGUGCGAGCGUUAAUCGGAAUUACUGGGCGUAAAGCGUGCGCAGGCGGUUUUUUAAGACAGGCGUGAAAGCCCCGGGCUUAACCUGGGAAUUGCAUUUGAUACUCUGGAGCUUGAGUACGGGAGAGGAGAGUGGAAUUCCCAGUGUAGAGGUGAAAUUCGUAGAUAUUGGGAAGAACACCGGUGGCGAAGGCGGCUCUCUGGACCGUAACUGACGCUGAGGCGCGAAAGCGUGGGGAGCAAACAGG
rnacentral:rRNA from 1 species